rnacentral:rRNA from 1 species
UGCCAGCCGCCGCGGUAAUACGGAGGGGGCGAGCGUUAUUCGGAAUCACUGGGCGUAAAGCGUGCGUAGGCGGUUUAACAAGUCAGAAGUGAAAUCCCAGGGCUUAACCCUGGAACUGCUUUUGAAACUGUUAGACUAGAAUAUUGGAGAGGUCAGGAGAAUUCCUAGUGUAGAGGUGAAAUUCGUAGAUAUUAGGAGGAAUACCAGUGGCGUAGGCGCCUGACUGGACAAUUAUUGACGCUGAGGUACGAAAGCGUGGGGAGCAAACAGGAUUAGAUA